rnacentral:lncRNA from 1 species
GAUCUUUACUAUUUGCAUACAGAUGCAAGUGUAAACAUUAACGAGUAAAUAGUGAAUGUUAUAGGGUCUAAGAGAUUUAAAGAUAGGAUCAGCCAAAAGUAUCUGUGGCAUCUUAGGCUAGGCCAUAUUGGAGAAGACAGACUCAUCAAACUGAAGAAAGAUGAUCUUCUUAGACCAUUGACUUUCGAGUCUUAUCCAGUCUGUGAAUCGUACUUCAAGAAAAAAUGAUCAAGCUGUCCUUUGUGGGACAAGAGGAAAGGGCCACUGAGAUAUUAGCCCUGGUACACACUGACAUAUGUGGUCUAUUUGAUGUACAAGCCAGGGGUGGCUAUAUC